GAGGACGAGAACUCCACAGAUAUUUGUCGCUUGGCUUCCUUUUCCUUGCCGUUUCUCCCCUCCACAAAUCUCCCAAAUCAUGAAACCCUAAUCCAGCAAUUAACGACCCUUUAAAUCUCGAUUAUCCUUUGCUUUCCCAAUCAGAUUCAUCCGUAAGUUCAAAUCCUUUUCAAUUUUCUUUCUCUUUUGCUCGACUAUUAUCUCGCAAACAAUCCAAUUAAUUUUUCAUUGUUACCAAUAUCUGCAUUUUGAUAGAUUGAUUUUUUUUAUUAGGGUUUGUAUUAAUUUUAUAUUUUGUAAGGUUAUUUAUUUUACAACAAAUGGAUGGGAACAAAGACGACGCCUUGAAAUGCUUGAAAAUCGGUAAGGACGCACUAGAAUCCGGUGAUAGAACUCGUGCUCUGAAGUUCAUUACCAAAGCUCGCCGCCUAGAUCCUACUCUCCCCGUCGACGAUCUCUUAUCGUCAAUAGAUAAGGAUUCGUCUCCCGAUCAAACGGCUGCGAGUACUAAUGGACCCACCGGCACCACAACCAAUGAAUCUAAAGUUCGCCAAAGGGUUCCCUCAACUGGGUCGUCUUCAUCUGCCUCUGCCUCUGCCACUGCCUCAUCGUCCUCAGCCACGUAUACUGAGGAGCAAAUCACUAUCGUGAGGCAAAUCAAGAAGAAGAAAGAUUAUUAUGACAUUUUGGGAUUGGAGAAAACUUGCUCUGUUGAAGAUGUUCGAAAAGCGUAUAGGAAAUUAUCCCUUAAAGUCCAUCCUGAUAAGAACAAGGCGCCCGGAGCUGAAGAAGCUUUUAAAGCUGUCUCCAAGGCAUUCCAGUGUCUUAGCAAUGAAGAAAGCCGGAAGAAGUAUGAUCUGACUGGGAGUGACGAGCCUGUUUAUGAGAGACGCGCUCCAAGGCAUCAUGGAGGGCAGGGAGGAUACAAUGGGUAUCAUGAUGAUUUUGAUCCGGACGAGAUUUUCAGGCAAUUCUUCUUUGGUGGAAUGCCACCUGCGACUACCCAAUUCAGAAGUUUCAAUUUUGGGAGAGGCAUGGGGCCGAGAACAGGUGAUAAUGCAUCUGGGUUUAACUUGCGUGCAUUGAUUCAGUUGCUGCCUGUUCUCGUCAUCUUGCUUUUGAACUUUUUGCCGUCUUCAGAGCCAAUUUACUCGCUUUCCAGGUCAUAUCCUUAUGAAUACAGGUUCACUACUCAGAAAGGGGUUAAUUUUUAUGUGAAGAAUACCAAAUUUGAGCACGAUUAUCCACCAGGUAGCCAGGAAAGGGCAACACUGGAAGGGAAAGUGGAAAGGGAUUAUAUGUCUACUCUUGCACAGAAUUGCAGGUUUGAGUUGCAGAGGCAGCAGUGGGGUUUUAUAAGGGAGACUCCUCAUUGUGAAAUGUUGCAGCAGUUUCAGUCUGGGGCCUCGGCGGCCUGAUGAAUUGGAAUUGAGGUUGAAUUUUAUUUUUGUUUUAGAAGUUGACUAUUUUUACCAGCGAAGGUUACAUAUGAUGUAAUAUUGAUAGGUUAAGGCCCAAUAAGUAUUUGUUACAAUUUUCGCCUUUCACAUAGCUUAAGCAUGCAAAUUUGUGCCAAAUAUUUUUCUUUAUCAUGCCUUUUUUUUUUAUAUAUGAACUUAUAUUUUAGUACUACAAUAGUCCUUCAGCAGGAGUAAAUGUGCAUGCAGAUGCAUGAUUUCAUUUCUUAAGUGACCUUAAUGAUGCUGUAAUGACUAAUACCACGUAGAUGAGACAUGCUUUAUGUCCUUGAAAUCUAUUCUUCAUCAAAUGUUUUUUGCCUUAAAUUUGUAGCGUAGAAUCCAAAUGCUGUCAGGGUUGUUGGAAUUUUACCGUGAUUGUCCAUUAUCUUAUAAUUGUUGCAUAUAAAGCCAUCCUGAAACUGGUUGACAGAUUCCGAUGAAUUGAUCUGCUUUUAGUUUUGUUGCAACUUGAUGUGGAAGUAUAUUCGAACUUGCAGUUAGAGUCUGUACCUUCUGUUUCUUUUGCAGAUGCUCAUCUGGUACAACUGGAUCAAAUAUAAUUUUGAAGAAGACAUGGAGCAUUUGGAAUUUAAUAAUUUAUGGAGGAAAUGGAGGAUAAUAAUUGUGAUUUUUAUAUUCAAUAUUAUCAAAUCUGGAUCUUCUAUGUACUUUUCUUUCCCCUAGCACAUGUGUGGUGCUACAAACUUCUGGUCUCUUGUACAUGCUCUCCGAGUCUCCUUAGAAUAGCUUGUGUCAUAACUUGAGUUUUACUUUGUCUUUAGCAAUUGUUUUGAGUUCCUACUGGAUCGUGCAAAUUCCAGCUUAAUUAGACCAUCUAUAUUAGGUUUCUCAUUUGUCCACUGUGUUCUGUGAUACCUUCUACUCUUAUGAAUCCAUGAUGUUUUCAGAUUCCCUUGCUGCAAAAUCAGUAUUUCUAUUUAAAUGCUGAUGUUGGCCACUCCUAGUUGCUAUGGAAGCUCUGCUCUGAAGAUGCUUAGCAGGAUCUUUUUGGUUUGGGUUUUGAUUUAUGGGUUAUUCAUGGAUAAUGGUGGCAACUCUUUGCAUUGGGUUCAUUGCUUAAUUCGGAUGGAAAUAACAAACUUACAUUCAUAUUUUUUUUUGGGCUCUUUUUUAAGCUUGCAAUUUGUAUGACCUAUCCUAGAGAAUAUUUCUUGAAAAUUUUCUACAUGACUUGUGUAGUUUAACUAUUUAGUUCUUUGCUUGAGUUCUGCAAGGGAUUCGUUGUUACAUAUACAUAUGAUGAUUUGGAGAUGUGAAGAUGUUUUUAUAAAGUAAUUAUGAGAGAGGAAAUUUCUCCUGGAGGGUUAUGGACUAUUGAUUCUUUCGUGAGACUUUAAUAUGUGGUUUAACACUACCUUUCUGUUCCUCAGGGUGGUAUACAUAGUAUAACUAUAAAUUGCUUAUUUAUUAAUCUGUGCACUGUGCUUGUGAAUUGCAGAAAGAAAUGCUUCAACCUAUCAUCUGAACAUAAAAAUCCCCCCUUUUUGAAGGUAACAAAGAUUAAAGUUUUGAAAAUGUGAAAGGUGUUUUAACAUUUUACUCUCUCUUUGGAUUUGGAAAGAGUGCGAGCAUGGUUUCUAACUGAUUUUUGUGUGAUAACAAAUGCAGCACGCAGCUGGUAGCAUACGAUGUUAUCAUUUCCAUCUCCCAUCCCUGCAUCAUGAACUGUUCUCUUGCUGUCAAAUUUGCUUAUGGACUUAGAAAUAAACUAUGAGUCUGUUUUUGUGUACCUG
rnacentral:misc_RNA from 1 species